rnacentral:rRNA from 1 species
GUACACACCGCCCGUCAAGCCACGAAAGCUGAGAGCGCCCGAAGUCGUUAGUCCAACCGCAAGGAGGACGGCGCCGGAGGCGAGCUUGGUGAUUGGGACUAAGUCGUAACAAGGUAGCCGUAGGUGAACCUGCAGAAGGAUCA